AACAAACAAAAACUAUAUACAGAAAAGAAUACUAUGUUACAGGAACUCAGAUCAAGGAAGAGUAAGAAAAACUCCCCCUUAAUCAAACAAGAGGUGAACCUCAAAAUCAGUCCAGAGGAGAUGUCGUAAAAACACUCCCCCUGAAACAAACAAGAGGUACAACCUUAAGAAGCACUUGAGGUACAACCUUAAGAAACACAAACUGAAUGUUGACCCAACAUUUGGUUUGGAACAACCAAGAGAAAGUUAAGAACUCCCCCUG
rnacentral:lncRNA from 1 species